UAGAUGGAUGCUGCUUUAGGUUAAAAACUUAUAAAUACUCAGUACAUAUCAAACUACUGUAAUAAAGCAAUAGUGACACAUGAUAAAAACACUCUUACUCACACUUGUGUGUUGCAACAUUACUGUCAGAUCUAAUUUAGCCGGUGUUGUGCCAAAUUCUGCCCCCCUGCCAUAUUAUGCACCCCCUAGUAUUGGUAGGUUCAGGAGUAGGUGUGGGGGGAGGGUUAGGAUUAGAAAAUCAGUUAGCAACUUCAAUGAGACACAACACAACGGCACAACACCAGCACAGCAAAGUCUUUUAGUUUCAAUCUCUCUGAAAUUCCUGAGUCGGACUAUCUUGUUUAAAAAUGAAUCCGCGGUAAAAUGAAGUGAUGUACUGACGUGAUCUGGAACUUUAUCCACUCUUUUCUAAUGUUAGGAUCAGACGGAAGGAAAUGCAAAGACUUUGUUUUUUUUCACUGCUAAAGCCUAAAGUUUACUUCAGAUUUCUAAGGGGCAGUGCUGUGGAAGUAGGCGUUGAUCUUCUUCUGCAGAGGUGGGCUUUCGUCGCACUAUGACAUCAUAAUGUGACACAUUCUAAAAGGAGUUAUUUUAGCUGCUUGGCUUUAAUAUAAGAUGUUUUAGACUAACGAGAACGUUUUGAUCAACAACAUGAUCGUCAGCUUUUGUUCAUGUCAGAUCUAAUGCUGCUGUCAUUAAAAGAAAAGGACAAACUCAACAGGGGAAAAAUCAUGUUCAUUUUUCAUUUCAACUUUUCAUGAAUUUUCAAUGGGAGUACCAACUUCAAGCUACACAAGCAACAAAGGCUGGUCGUGAAGCACCAAACUGAGCAUUGACACGAAGCAGUGACUAGCAGUGGAAGUGCAGCCGCUGAUCCAGAUCUGCAGAUCUCCACCACCUCCAGUCAUUUAAUCGCUGUCAAUGUGAACGGGGCUUAAUACUGCUGAUGCAUCAUAAACUGCUUGGUUCUCAACCCUGUUCCUGGAGCCCCUGCAUUUCUGCAUUUAAUCAGUGUCUCCCUCAUCGAACACAGCUCAUCAGCUCAUUAGAAGAGAAUUUGCUAACACCA
ensembl:lncRNA